UCCCACCUCCUGGACAGCAUCCAUUUUGAAGCUGCAUUCUUAGUGAGCUGUCCUAAGAAUGCAGCUUCAAAAUGGAUGCUGUCCAGGAGGUGGGA